GCAUGUUGGUGCUUCUUUGGUGUUGUAUUCUUUUCUAAGAUUUUUUUGUCAUUGACUUCUUAUUCAAGUAAGGAACGUGUUUAUAUUGUUCUUCUAGUUCAUAAUUCAUUUGAGUGUUUUAAUCUAUAGGACAUUGUAGGUUGAAUUAGUAAUUAUAGGUGUAAGCAUGGUGCUUAGAUCUAGGUUACUUGUGAAUGCCUUUUGUCUUUUUGGAUCGGUGGUUGAUCACGAAGGUGACUCUUAUAGCUUCAUUGAGUCUUCUAUAGUCCACUAUCCCAUUAGAAGAAUUGGUAGCCUUAUUGAUGCUGGUAGGGGAGAACUCUAAUUUCUACCACUAUUUAAGUUAUCAGCCAUGUUAGGACAUUAGAAGAUAGUUUAUCGAGAUUCAAACAAGAAAUACCUUAGUAGUCUCCUUUUAUCUCAACCUUCUCUAGUGUUUAUUGUUACUUCGGGUUAAGUUGGGCUGUAGUUAUACUCACAUGUUUCCCUAUGGAUAUGAUACUUAAAACCUCUAGGUGAAGGCUACAAUGGUAUUCGUGCACUUGCAGAUCUAUCUCUUUGAUUAUUUUGUGUGCGUUAAAAAUACCAGCACUCACCAUAAGCACGAGAGCUCACUGGGUGAUGCCUAGCUAUCUAGGAGGCUUCACCUCCAAAGUAACAAAUGCAUAAUGAAUGUUCAAUGCAACACAACAAGUGCUCAAGGAUUAUCUUGCUCUAAUUUGCUCUUUAACACUUAAUCAAUUAGUAAUCACUCACUCCCAUAAAGAGGAGGAUUAGAGAGAGCACAUAAGGCUUGGGAAGGGUUGAGAAUGAUCUAAAGAUCAGUAGCCUCACCAAGAGGCAUGGGAUGGGUAUAUAUAGCCACCCCAUGAAAACUAGUUGCAGUUCAAAAACUAGCUGGUGUUGGGUAUUCUUAACAUCAUUACCAAAAGUAGACUUAGUUUUCUAAUUCUAGUAACGGUGCCAAAAAUGCCAAACCUAUCCCUCACACCACUUAAGCCAAGUUGUCAUCCCGAGCAUGACAUGAGAGACGCCGUAUUGAAAUAUGCAAUUGCUCUUCUAAAUAAAUAAUGAAUGAGAUCUGCAAGCGCAC
rnacentral:lncRNA from 1 species